rnacentral:rRNA from 1 species
UGAGGAAUAUUGGUCAAUGGACGGAAGUCUGAACCAGCCAAGUAGCGUGCAGGAAGACGGCCCUAUGGGUUGUAAACUGCUUUUGUAUGGGGAUAAAGUCAAUCACGUGUGAUUGUUUGCAGGUACCAUACGAAUAAGGACCGGCUAAUUCCGUGCCAGCAGCCGCGGUAAUACGGAAGGUUCGGGCGUUAUCCGGAUUUAUUGGGUUUAAAGGGAGCGUAGGCCGGAGAUUAAGUGUGUUGUGAAAUGUAGACGCUCAACGUCUGACUUGCAGCGCAUACUGGUUUCCUUGAGUACGCACAACGUUGGCGGAAUUCGUCGUGUAGCGGUGAAAUGCUUAGAUAUGACGAAGAACUCCGAUUGCGAAGGCAGCUGACGGGAGCGCAACUGACGCUGAAGCUCGAAGGUGCGGGUAUCGAACAGGAUUAGAUACCCUGGUAGUCCGCACAGUAAACGAUGGAUGCCCGCUGUUGGCACCUAGUAUCAGCGGCUAAGCGAAAGCAUUAAGCAUCCCACCUGGGGAGUACGCCGGCNACGGU